rnacentral:rRNA from 1 species
GAUGAACGCUAGCUACAGGCUUAACACAUGCAAGUCGAGGGGCAGCAUGGUCUUAGCUUGCUAAGGCCGAUGGCGACCGGCGCACGGGUGAGUAACACGUAUCCAACCUGCCGUCUACUCUUGGACAGCCUUCUGAAAGGAAGAUUAAUACAAGAUGGCAUCAUGAGUCCGCAUGUUCACAUGAUUAAAGGUAUUCCGGUAGACGAUGGGGAUGCGUUCCAUUAGAUAGUAGGCGGGGUAACGGCCCACCUAGUCUUCGAUGGAUAGGGGUUCUGAGAGGAAGGUCCCCCACAUUGGAACUGAGACACGGUCCAAACUCCUACGGGAGGCAGCAGUGAGGAAUAUUGGUCAAUGGACGAGAGUCUGAACCAGCCAAGUAGCGUGAAGGAUGAAGGUCCUACGGAUUGUAAAACCUUCUUUUAUAAGGGAAUAAACCCUCCACGUGUGGGAG